AACGUAGGAGGCGAGCGUUAUCCGGAUUCACUGGGCGUAAAGCGCGUGUAGGCGGUUCGUCAAGUCGAUGGUGAAAGCCUCCGGCUCAACUGGGGGAGGACUAUCGAAACUGGCGGACUUGAGGCAAGGAGAGGAAGGUGGAAUUCCCGGUGUAGCGGUGGAAUGCGUAGAGAUCGGGAGGAACACCAGUGGCGAAGGCGGCCUUCUGGCCUUGUCCUGACGCUGAGACGCGAAAGCGUGGGGAGCAAACGGG
rnacentral:rRNA from 1 species